rnacentral:rRNA from 1 species
ACAUGCAAGUCGUACGAGAAAUCUUCUGCUUGCAGAAGAGAGUAGAGUGGCGAACGGGUGAGUAACGCGUGGGUAAUCUACCCUUGAAUCUGGGAUAACAUUGCGAAAGCGAUGCUAAUACCGGAUAGUAUCCCGCGACUAUGGUCGUCGGGAUUAAAGGUGGCCUCUACAUGUAAGCUACCGUUUGGGGAUGAGCCCGCGUGCCAUUAGCUUGUUGGUAGGGUAACGGCCUACCAAGGCGACGAUGGCUAGCUGGUCUGAGAGGAUGAUCAGCCACACUGGAACUGAGACACGGUCCAGACUCCUACGGGAGGCAGCAGUGAGGAAUCUUGCGCAAUGGGGGAAACCCUGACGCAGCAACGCCGUGUGAGUGAUGAAGGCCCUCGGGUCGUAAAGCUCUGUCAAGUGGGAAGAACCUGCCUGAUACCAAUAAUAUCAGGCACUGACGGUACCACUAAAGGAAGCACCGGCUAACUCCGUG